GCUGUAGCGGCUGAGAUUUGCUGAAGAUAACAGCUCGGGUCUGUCCCAGCUCGCUUCUCCAGCCACUGCUAGCCCGCCCCUCCUCUUCAUUAAAUACUUCCAGCUCGCACCUUCCUGGGCAAUGCUGCAAGUACGGCACGCACGGUGCUGGAGAUGGCGUGGGUGCAGCCGCCCCGGGGCUCCCGGUCUCGCAGCACAUAAAGUGGUCUGUCCUUCUCCCUCCUUAUGCAAAAUCCGUCCCGUGGAGCCUGCAGCCGGGUUUGAAACAGCACUAACAGCUCUUCCCGUCUUCUUUUUACUUAGCUUCUCUUAAUUUCAUGGUUUGGUAUCCUUAAUGGGGGGAGGAGGGAAGAAUGUAGGUGUGAGGAGGCAGAGAUGGGUGAUGUACUGACCAGCCUUUCCUAUGUGAGAACUAAGAAAGCUGAAUCACUCUUAAGCAUGAUACGAGCAGCAUGCUAACGUGUUCAAAUGCAUAACUUUUAUCAUUUAAUUAUACAUUGUCUAAUUAAAGCUGUAUCUGGACAGGA